AGGCGGUAAGAGGAUCUGCGUGUGCCCUUCGCAGGGGUCCAGAGGGAGAGAACAACCUAGGCCUAGGGUUUCGGGGAUACUGACACCCAGAAACAGAUUUUCUCUCAAAGAAGUUUCUGCCGCCAUCCCUAUCUUAUCAGCAGGAGGCCCCGGCGCCAUCGUCUCCGUCUUUAUGAUUUUAUUAUGGGGAGGUGGGAAACGCCACCCAGGAUUCCUCCAGGCCUCCCCGAUUCAGCUUCGGGGUCCCCCUCAUUCUUCCCUCUAAGCCGCAGUCCCCGAGGUCCUCCUCGGCACCCCCGCUUCUGGCGGCCUAUCCCCCGGGAAGUGGACGGGCACGGCCGAACCCACCGGCCUCGCCGUGAAGGCGGGAGGGCCCGAACCCGCCAGGGCCACGGCGAUGGCUCCGAGGGGCCCGGAAAGGGGAAGGGCAGGCCGGGGACCGGGGCAGGAUGACCUGGCCGGGGGAGAAAGGAAAACGGAGGUGAGGAGACGCACCGCCCCGCAGGGCUGCACGGAGAAGGGAGAUGAUGAAGGAGGAGGAGGAGGGCGGUGGCCCGGGUGCGGCCCCCCACUCCUCCCGCCCCCGGGUCCCCGGGCCGGCGGGGGCGGCGGACUCGGCCCAUUCCCAGGUCUGGGCUGGCGGGGGGCUGGGGGAUCUCCCUCCACACUACUAGGAGACAGAGAACGAGGGUCUCGGGAGCGCGGGGGCUGUCUCCCGCCUGAACCCGGAGACCCCGACGCCGUCGUCGCCUCUUCCUCAGGAGGGAGGACGGGAGCUGUGGGUAAAGCCCGAAGGAGGAAUGCCCGAAGGUGAGGGGAAGCCCGGGGCAGACCCGCCGCCCGCUCCGGACCCCCCCCUCCACCUUCCGGUAACCGCGUCUCUUACCGGUGAUGGCGGUGAACUGUUGAAUUAA